GUGAGCCUAGUGAUAGGAGACUACCUAGCUUGGUUCGGAGAGCACUUGUUGGGUUAAAGAUUUGUUUGUUGCUAAAUGUUACGGCCUAAAUGCUGAACUAUUGACCCUAC
rfam:Nelumbo nucifera Contig4_6_18 mitochondrial, whole genome shotgun sequence